rnacentral:rRNA from 1 species
GACGGACCCGCACAAGCGGUGGAUCAUGUUGUUAAUUCGAAGCAACGCGAAGAACCUUACCAGGUCUUGACAUCCCGAUGCUAUUUCUAGAGAUAGAAAGUUACUUCGGUACAUCGGUGACAGGUGGUGCAUGGUUGUCGUCAGCUCGUGUCGUGAGAUGUUGGGUUAAGUCCCGCAACGAGCGCAACCCCUAUUGUUAGUUGCCAUCAUUCAGUUGGGCACUCUAGCGAGACUGCCGGUAAUAAACCGGAGGAAGGUGGGGAUGACGUCAAAUCAUCAUGCCCCUUAUGACCUGGGUUACACACGUGCUACAAUGGUUGGUACAACGAGUUGCGAGUCGGUGACGGCGAGCUAAUCUCUUAAAGCCAAUCUCAGUUCGGAUUGUAGGCUGCAACUCGCCUACAUGAAGUCGGAAUCGCUAGUAAUCGCGGAUCAGCACGCCGCGGUCGAAUACGUUCCCGGGCCUU